AUUGAACGCUGGCGGCAGGCUUAACACAUGCAAGUCGAGCGGGGUGAUGGUGCUUGCACUAUCACUUAGCGGCGGACGGGUGAGUAAUGCUUAGGAAUCUGCCUAUUAGUGGGGGACGACAUCUCGAAAGGGAUGCUAAUACCGCAUACGUCCUACGGGAGAAAGCAGGGGAUCACUUGUGACCUUGCGCUAAUAGAUGAGCCUAAGUCGGAUUAGCUAGUUGGUGGGGUAAAGGCCUACCAAGGCGACGAUCUGUAGCGGGUCUGAGAGGAUGAGCCGCCACACUGGGACUGAGACACGGCCCAGACUCCUACGGGAGGCAGCAGUGGGGAAUAUUGGACAAUGGGGGAACCCUGAUCCAGCCAUGCCGCGUGUGUGAAGAAGGCCUUAUGGUUGUAAAGCACUUUAAGCGAGGAGGAGGCUCUUUUGGUUAAUACCCAAGAUGAGUGGACGUUACUCGCAGAAUAAGCACCGGCUAACUCUGUGCCAGCCGCCGCCGUAC
rnacentral:rRNA from 1 species